AGUGAGAAUGAAUUUUUUUCAAAUGGGUUAUAUUAGAAUACUUUCCUAGAGGAAGAGAUCGAGUUUCCUUUAUAAUUUCGUCUUGGAUUGGCAGGAAGCAGCUUCAGUGUCGGAGAUCAAAAUCAUGCAAUUCAGAAGCCAAAAACUUCACUGUGGGACUCUUCGCUUAGGCUGAAAUCAGGCGUCCUCCUGUGGAGAAACCGGUAUUCUUUAGUGAGGAAGGAGCGUCCUAGGCAGAGGAGCUGAGACGGAACAAGAAGAAAUGAAGAAGCAAGGCCGCGGCAGCGAAUCCCUCGUUUCUGGGACUUCUGAUUCAGUUGCUCCUAGAGAGCUGAUGCAACAAGGAGGACUCUGAGAAGUACAGCAAACGAACUGUGAAGACUCGGAGUUUCUCUUUCAACAGCCUCAUUCUGCUCCUUUCUUCUCAGACCGGUUUCUGGCCUUUUAUAUUUGUCAGGAAUGUUCUUCUGGUGAAUUCAAGUGCAGACCACUUUUUCCAUUUUUCUAAAGUUAGUAAAUCGAUGGCUUACCCAGACAAGAUAUUAAGAAUUGGCAAGAGUUAUGUUGGUAGUAUAAGACUUGUGUUCAAGAAUUGAAGAGAUUCUGUGUAAAAUUCUCAAUGAUGAUGAGUUCCUGAAGUACUUAAAUCGAUGGCUUACCCACGUCGUCUUAGGUGUUGCAUAUACGAAUAUAAUUAAUUCUCUAUGAUGAUGAGUUCCUGAAGUACUUAAAAGACCAUCAAGAGAACUGGUUUGAGAGAAUGUAGUGGUAUUUACGUAUAUGAGUGCUGGAACUCGAAGCUCUUAGCUUAUUUACUUCUUCACUUUUGAUGUUUUGAUUUGAUCUAAGCUUCUUAUUAAAUAAUUGA